rnacentral:misc_RNA from 1 species
UACUGCUUUACAGAAUCUAAUGAUAGUUCUUCUUUCUUCACAAAGAGUUGAUUGUAAUCUUUCCUCACAAUCCUUGAUACAAAAUUCUUGACAGUCUCAUCAAAUGUAGCAGAAAACAGAAGAACCUGGCACUGAGCAUUGAGUCUUUCAAUAUCCUUCAUUAUCCUCAAGGAAUCAUCUUGAAAUCCAUCCUUGGCCAGCAUGUGAUCAGCCUCAUCAAAAACAAGAACUUGCAUAUCAAUAAUGCUUAAUUUCUUCUGAGACAUCAGUCUCUUUAUCGUACCAGGGGUGCCAAUAACUACUUGUGCAAAUAUUGGUGGCC